rnacentral:snoRNA from 1 species
UGCAGAUGAUGCCUUUCUCUCACGAUGGUCUUCCAAGCCCCGUGGUGAAGGGGCUGUGAGGACAACGCCACACGGCUUUGCUGAUGCCCAGCC